rnacentral:rRNA from 1 species
UUGGCCCAGAUCCGUUUACCGUGAAAAAAUUAGAGUGUUCAAAGCAGGCAGACCAUUCUUCUGCCACCGAAUACAUUAGCAUGGGAUAAUGGAAUAGGACCCUGUCCUCCUAUUUUGCGUGUUGGUUUUCGAGGACCGGGUAAUGAUUAAUAGGGAUAGUUGGGGGCAUUAAUAUUUAAUUGUCAGAGGUGAAAUUCUUGGAUUUAUGAAAGAUUGACUUCUGCGAAAGCAUCUGCCAAGGAUGUUUUCAUUAAUCAAGAACGAAAGUUAGGGGAUCGAAGACGAUCAGAUACCGUCGUAGUCUUAACCAUAAACGAUGCCGACCAGCGAUUAGGAGACGUUGAAUACAAAACACCACCGUCGGGUCGGCCGUCCUUGGCCGUCGUGCGCGGCGACGCGCGCGGCGGCGAGGGCGGUUCUGCCCGACGGCCCGGAA